GCAAAUUUAUCGCUUGUUUACAAAGCAGCAUUUAGUGGAUAUGUCAACUAAAAGAAGCACGAGAUUCCCACAGGCAUCACCCACUCAGUAUCAAACGGAAUAUAUCUGUGAAAGAUGUGAAGAUUAAAACAACUCGAUUCUGUCUUGCUGCCUUGAAACUGCGACGUUGACCGGUAUCUGACACUUAUAACGUUGGUAAGGAAUUAAUAUGAGAACGCACGGAAGUAUGCCUGCAAAUGUUCAUGUGUUGUUUGUUGAACAGAAAACGUGUUUACAUGUACACUACAGGAUUGGAACCGGAUGCAUCGAUAAUGUAUUUAUUUUUUAUUGAUGGUAUACAGAAAAUGUGUGACGGAUUGUCGCGCGUUCGCUGACAGAGUGGAUAUAAUGUCCGAUUAGCGACUGUAAUUUACCGGGUUUGGCUGAAACAUCUUUAUUGUUGGUCUCUAAACAGGAAACGGAAUUUUACUGUCUAUUAUCAUAACUUAUCACUUCAAUUGGGUUGAUCUUAUACAAAGAGCCUAACAAUUUACCGAACAAUUGGAAAUAACAUCUUUUUAAAUAGCAUACUGUUAGUGGCUGUUUAUAUUUCCUAUAUAAUAGCACACAGAUCUGAAAUCACGUAAAUGGACAUUGAUGUAUUAGAAUGUUUUAAACUGUUUCGCAGUUUGUAAUAUAUUUGUAAGAAUAAAUUUCCUUAAAUGUU